UACGGAGGGUGCAAGCGUUAUCCGGAUUCACUGGGUUUAAAGGGUGCGUAGGCGGGCAGGUAAGUCAGUGGUGAAAUCUCCGAGCUUAACUCGGAAACUGCCAUUGAUACUAUUUGUCUUGAAUAUUGUGGAGGUAAGCGGAAUAUGUCAUGUAGCGGUGAAAUGCUUAGAUAUGACAUAGAACACCAAUUGCGAAGGCAGCUUACUACACAAUCAUUGACGCUGAGGCACGAAAGCGUGGGGAUCAAACAGG
rnacentral:rRNA from 1 species